GAUGAACGCUGGCGGCGUGCCUAAUACAUGCAAGUCGAGCGAACGGACGAGAAGCUUGCUUUUCUGAUGUUAGCGGCGGACGGGUGAGUAACACGUGGAUAACCUACCUAUAAGACUGGGAUAACUUCGGGAAACCGGAGCUAAUAUCGGAUAAUAUUUUGAACCGCAUGGUUCAAAAGUGAAAGACGGUCUUGCUGUCACUUAUAGAUGGAUCCGCGCUGCAUUAGCUAGUUGGUAAGGUAACGGCUUACCAAGGCAACGAUGCAUAGCCGACCUGAGAGGGUGAUCGGCCACACUGGAACUGAGACACGGUCCAGACUCCUACGGGAGGCAGCAGUAGGGAAUCUUCCGCAAUGGGCGAAAGCCUGACGGAGCAACGCCGCGUGAGUGAUGAAGGUCUUCGGAUCGUAAAACUCUGUUAUUAGGGAAGAACAGAUGUGUAAGUAACUGUGCACAUCUUGACGGUACCUAAGCAGAAAGCCACGGCUAACUACGU
rnacentral:rRNA from 1 species